UAAUAUAUUUUAUUUGUGGCAAAAUUUAAAACUCCCAUUAAAUAAAACUAGUUUAAAUUUUUAAGCCCAAUUUUCUAAAUCAAUAGCCAGUUACUAACCUACUCUGGAUUAAACCCAAACCAAUUUAACUCUAAACAAGAACUUAUCCAACAAAAUUCGAAGAGGAAGAAUGAAACCCUAGAUCUACUCGCCGCCGCGUAUUCAUCUCUUCGCCAUUGUCACCAUCAAGCUCGCCGUAGCGUCUGAGAUCAGAGGGAGAGUAACCGGCGACGCCAGCGAUGCCAUCCUUACUGAGGUCCAGGAGCAGGUUUCCAUCCUCAACUCCACUUUCUCAUGGAAGGAGUCAGAUCGAGCCGCCGCCAAGCACGCCACUCGCGCUCACCGAUCUUGCCAAAAACGAGGAAGUGGUGAACGUGAUUGUCGAAGGAGGAGCUAUUCCGACUUCAUUAUCUCUAGUAUUUUUGAAAUGCUCUGUAGUGUUUGACCUGAGAAGAUGCAUAUGAAGGCAAAGAGAGGAAACUGUUCAGAGGCCUUUUGACCUUCCAUUGUGAUGAAAAAAUGGCUGAAUAUUAAGCCUAAGGCCAAUGAUUUUAGUGAAGAUGAAGUUGAUGCUGAAACUGAAACCGAAACUGAGAGUGAAGAUGAUGUUCUGUUAAGGAUUCAAGAACUCGAAUGCUCCAAGAUGAUCCACCUAGAACUCAAGGGAACCAAUGCAUAUUCCAAAGUCAAUUAUCAUCAG